rnacentral:rRNA from 1 species
GAUGAACGCUAGCUACAGGCUUAACACAUGCAAGUCGAGGGGAAACGACAUCGAAAGCUUGCUUUUGAUGGGCGUCGACCGGCGCACGGGUGAGUAACGCGUAUCCAACCUGCCCAUCACUUGGGGAUAACCUUGCGAAAGUAAGACUAAUACCCAAUGACGUCUCUAGAAGACAUCUGAAAGAGAUUAAAGAUUUAUCGGUGAUGGAUGGGGAUGCGUCUGAUUAGCUUGUUGGCGGGGUAACGGCCCACCAAGGCUACGAUCAGUAGGGGUUCUGAGAGGAAGGUCCCCCACAUUGGAACUGGGACACGGGCCAAACUCCUACGGGAGGCAGCAGUGAGGAAUAUUGGUCGAUGGACGAGAGUCUGAACCAGCCAAGUAGCGUGCAGGAAGACGGCCCUAUGGGUUGUAAACUGCUUUUAUAAGGGAAUAAAGUGAGUCUCGUGAGACUUUUUGCAUGUACCUUAUGAAUAAGGACCGGCUAAUUCCGUGCCAGCAGCCGCAGUAAAAC